rnacentral:rRNA from 1 species
AUUUUCCGGUUGAUCCUGCCGGACCCGACCGCUAUCGGGGUAGGGCUAAGCCAUGCGAGUCGCGCGCCCGGGGGCGCCCGGGAGCGGCGCACGGCUCAGUAACACGUGCCUAACCUACCCUCGGGAGGGGGAUACCCCCGGGAAACUGGGGUCAAUCCCCCAUAGGGGAAGGGCGCUGGAAGGCCCCUUCCCCGAAAGGGGCGGCGGCCGAUCCGCCGCCGCCCGCCCGAGGAUGGGGGCACGGCCCAUCAGGUAGUUGGCGGGUUAAAGGCCCGCCAAGCCGAAGACGGGUAGGGGCGGUGAGAGCCGCGAGCCCCGAGAUGGGCACUGAGACAAGGGCCCAGGCCCUACGGGGUGCAGCAGGCGCGAAUACUCCGCAAUGCGGGCAACCGCGACGGGGCUACCCCGAGUGCCGGGCGAAGAGCCCGGCUUUUGCCCGAAU